rnacentral:rRNA from 1 species
AUUGAACGCUGGCGGCAUGCCUAACACAUGCAAGUCGAACGGCAGCGCGGGGGCAACCCUGGCGGCGAGUGGCGGACGGGUGCGGCAUACAUCGGAAUCUACCUUCUGGUGGGGGAUAACCAGACGAAAGGCUGGCUAAUACCGCAUAAGACCGCGAGGUGAAAGCGGGGGACCGAACGGCCUCGCGCGAGAAGCAGAGCCGAUGUCGGAUUAGCUAGUUGGCGGGGUAAUGGCCCACCAAGGCGCCGAUCCGUCGCUGGUCUGAGAGGAUGAUCAGCCACACUGGGACUGAGACACGGCCCAGACUCCUACGGGAGGCAGCAGUGGGGAAUAUUGGACAAUGGGCGCAAGCCUGAUCCAGCAAUGCCGCGUGUGUGAAGAAGGCCUUCGGGUUGUAAAGCACUUUUAUCGGGAACGAAAAGCGAUCGGCGAAUACCCGGUCGUGCUGACGGUACCCGAGGAAUAAGCACCGGCUAACUUCGUGCCAGCCGCCGCCGUAAAAC